GAUGAAGAAUGUAGCGAAAUGCGAUAAGUAAUGUGAAUUGCAGAAUUCAGUGAAUCAUCGAAUCUUUGAACGCACAUUGCGCCCCUUGGUAUUCCGAGGGGCAUGCCUGUUCGAGCGUCAUUUCACCACUCAAGCCUCGCUUGGUAUUGGGCGCCGCGGUGUUCCGCGCGCCUCAAAGUCUCCGGCUGAGCUGUCCGUCUCUAAGCGUUGUGAUUUCAUUAAUCGCUUCGGAGCGCGGGCGGUCGCGGCCGUUAAAUCUUUCACAAGGUUGACCUCGGAUCAGGUAGGGAUACCCGCUGAACUUAAGCAUAUCAAUAAGCGGAGGA
rnacentral:misc_RNA from 1 species